UAUUAUGAUGAAUAAGAGCUUUUGCUCGACAAUAACCCAGCUCGUCGAGUGGCCUCGUUUAAUCUCACGUUGAGGUCACAUUGAGAAGAAGUCCUACCUGAUAUG
rnacentral:snoRNA from 1 species